GGGAAGGAAGCACUUCUGAUUUUUCGGGCUCCGUGGGGGAGGGUUGGGAGCAUCUCUUGGAAUCUUCUGGCUCUAUCUCGAUGCCACUUAUUUCAGAAUUGCUGCGCAGGUGCUUUUUGGCUUUGGGCCCUGGGAGUGAGAGGGAAACGGUGUUCUCUGCAUCCCAGGCGGUUGCCACUCUUCUGGGUUUCCUUAGCGUAAGUUGUGCCCCCUUGGGGCACCCCCUCCCUGGGGCAGAGGGUGGCUUAUCUCCAUCAAGGGGCUGGGAAGGUCACCCCACCCCCAGGACAUGGAAAUCGACCCAAGCCUGUCAGCCUCAGUUACUUAAUCUACACAAGGGGUCCAAAGCGGCCCCCCUUUGGCAAGUGUGGAUUUGAUCCCCAUGGUUCCUUUUGUCAUGCGCUUUCCAGAAGGGUCCCUGGUGAAGGGUCAUGGGUCACCAUCUGCAAGCUCUGGUUUGAGCUGGAUGCUUGUCAAGGUUUGGGAGAAGCAGAAGCAUCUUGCAACCAAGGUUAUGGGCUCUGGAGUGAGACUAGCUUCCAAGUCUGGACACCGCCAUGUGCCUGGGUAUCCUUGGGCAGAUUAUUUAGCUUCUCUGGGCCUCAUGUGCUUUAUCCAUAAUGGGGACGGGUGGAUACGUGGGGAGGUUUAAAUGGGUUGAGACUUGGCCAGCCCUUAGAACAAUGACUCUCACUGUGUAUUGGUUAUAACUCUUCUGCUUGCCAGGUUUCACACGUUCAGGUGAUGGCUGGGCUCUAGGGGACGGCCAGGAACCCACCUGUCACCUCUGCAGUGGGCCAUGCUGGGGGCGGCCACCAGGCCUCAACUUUUCUUUUCUUUUCUUUUUUUUUUUUUAUGGCUGCACCUGCAGCAUGUGGAAGUUCUUGGGCCGGGGUCAAAUUGGAGCUGCAGCUACAGGUUUAUGCCACAGCCAUGGCAUUGCCAGAUCCUUAAUGCACUGCACGAGGCCAGGGAUCAAACCUGCAUCCUCACUGAGUUGCAGCGACAACACUGGCUUCCUAACCUGCCGAACCACAAUGAGAACAACAGGCCUCAACUUUUUUGCUUUUGUUUUUGUGUUAGGGCCGCACCCAUGGCAUAGGGAGGUGCCCAGGCUAGGGUUCCAAUCGGAGCUAUCGCUGCCAGGUACACCACAGCCACAGCAACACCAGAUCCCAGGCGCGUCUUCGACCCACACCGCAGCUCAUGGCAGUGCCGGAUCCUUAACCCACUGAGCGAGACCAGGGAUCGCACCUGCAUCCUCAUGGAUACUAGUCAGAUUCAUUUCCACUGAGCCGUGACGGGAACACACAGGCCUCAACUUUCAAGCAUAGGUUUUUCUCGAGUACCAUUUAAAGCAAAGGUUGGAGGCCAGGCAAGGCAGAUGUCGGGGGUCCUGGAUGCUACCUUUUUCUGUUUUGUUUACCUUUAACAGGACAGAGGAGAACCACGAAGCCCCUCUGGGGGGGCCCUUCCCUGGCUGGGAUGUGCUUGCAUUGCCUUAGGAAACAGCAGGUGCAAUCGGCAGCCUCUUUCCCCAACCCCCGGCCGGGAUCUCCGGGGACUCCUUAGACUAAUGCAGUUUUAAUGAAUACACAUUACUGUUUACAUGGCUGAAAUGAGAGCCUGGCUGCUUAUUUUAUGCUGAGGUUUACAGCGCUGCCUUUAAAAAUCCUGCCUCCCUCGCUCUGCUUCUGGCCAAGGGGAUGUUUCCUGGCGGCCCUUCUGCCAUCCCUCCAGAUAAGGCAUUCACGGUGAGGUCCUGUGGUGUCGGAACCCCGGCCUUGCCUAGGAAGGAGUGGCAUGUAUACAACAAAAGUAUACAUUAUUGGAAGAAUUCUCAAAUGCUUGCCUAUUACAGAACAAUUAAAAAAUGAAGCUAUACCAGGAGAAGAAAAUAAAAAUCCUUGGUAGGUC
rnacentral:lncRNA from 1 species